GUUUUGCGGUUCGAUGCAUAAAUUUCAUGUUUUUUGAAUUUGUAUUGCAUGCUGAAUUAAAUGAACACUCGAGUGAAAAGUUAUGAUCGUUAAAGAUUUUCUUACGUCGAUCACAAAAUUUACCGUUUUCAACGAGAUUUUUGACCCAGCUUAGCUAAUUCAUGCUUUCUAGUUAAAAUUAGGUCCCAAACUCAGCUAGAACUGCUUUACAAUUCAGCGCAUAGAUCUAGUAUUUUUGGAAUCGAAAUUGUAUGUUGAAAAUGGACACCCUAACGAAAAGUUAUGAUCAUUUAAAAAU
rnacentral:lncRNA from 1 species